UACAGAGGUCUCAAGCGUUGUUCGGAUUCAUUGGGCGUAAAGGGUGCGUAGGUGGCGCGGUAAGUCGGGUGUGAAAUUUCGGAGCUUAACUCCGAAACUGCAUUCGAUACUGCCGUGCUUGAGGACUGGAGAGGGAUGCGGAAUUCCAGGUGUAGCGGUGAAAUGCGUAGAUAUCUGGAGGAACACCGGUGGCGAAGGCGGCAUCCUGGACCGGCAUUGACGCUGAGGCGCGAAAGCCAGGGGAGCAAACGGG
rnacentral:rRNA from 1 species